GGGAAGAUGGCCGAGUGGUUAUGGCGCUACGUUUAGGAACAGCCCGAUCCGUAGUGGGUUCGCCCGCGUGAGUUCGAACCUCACUCUUCUCA